rfam:Myotis davidii contig50862, whole genome shotgun sequence.
GGCAGUUCUCAGGUGACACACCCCAAAAUCAGGCUCCCUCCUCUCUGGUUCCAGGUGUGUCACAGGAGAACUGCA